rnacentral:rRNA from 1 species
GUGUCAGCAGCCGCGGUAACACGUAGGCACCAAGCGUUGUCCGGAUUUAUUGGGCGUAAAGAGCUCGUAGGCGGUUCGGUAAGUCGGGUGUGAAAACUCUGGGCUCAACCCAGAGAUGCCACCCGAUACUGUCGUGACUCGAGUGCGGUAGGGGAGCGGGGAAUUCCUGGUGUAGCGGUGAAAUGCGCAGAUAUCAGGAGGAACACCAGUGGCGAAGGCGCCGCUCUGGGCCGUAACUGACGCUGAGGAGCGAAAGCGUGGGUAGCAAACAGGAUUAGAUACCCGCGUAGUCC